CCGUUGGUGGGUUAAUUGCCUAGAAAAGAUUUUUCAUAUGUCUUACUCGCCCGUACCGUAAACCGACACAGGUGGGUGAGUGUAAAUGCACUAAGGCGCGCGAGAGAGACCUCUCUAAGGAACUCGGCACAUUAGCCUCGUAACUUCGGGAAAAGAGGUGCUCACUUCGGUGAGCCACAGUAAAUUGCGUUUAGCGACUGUUUAACAAAAACACAGCACUCUGCUAAGUCGUUAAGACGACGUAUAGGGUGUGACACGUGACCAAUGCGGAAAGAUUAAGGCAUUUUGUUAGCCGCAAGGCGAAGCUCGGUGCCAAAGUCCCCGUGAAUGUCGGCCGUAACUAUAACGGUCCUAAGGUAGCGAAAUUCCUUGUCGGGUAAGUUCCGACCUGCACGAAUCGUGUAACGACUGAACGACUGUCUCGGAGAGGAUCUCGGCGAAACUGUAACUGCGGUGAAGAUGCCGCAUGCCCGCAGUAGGACGGAAAGACCCUAUGCACCUUUACUGUAAGCUGGUAUUGUGUUCUGAUUAAUAAUGCGUAGCGUAGGUGGGAGGCUUUGAAGUGAGUGCUUCGGUGCUCAUGGAGCCGCAAUGUGAAACACCACUCUUUGCUAAUUAGGAUUCUAACCUCGAUUCCUGUCAACCAGGCGAGGGACAGUGCUUGCGGGUCAGUUUGACUGGGGCGGUUUCCUCCCAAAGAGUAACGGAGGAGCGCGAAGCUUGGCUCAGCACGGUUGGCAACCGUGCGUCGAGCGUAUGGGUAUAAGCCAGGUUAACUGUGAGACCUACAAGUCGAGCAGAUGCGAAAGCAGGCCCAAAUGAUCCGAUGGUUUAAUGUGGAAUUGCCAUCGCUCAACGGACAAAAGGUACGCUAGGGAUAACAGGCUGAUCGGUUCCAAGAGUUCACAUCGACGAACCGGUUUGGCACCUCGAUGUCGGCUCAUCGCAUCCUGGGGCUGGAGAAGGUCCCAAGGGUCCGGCUGUUCGCCGGUUAAAGCGGUACGCGAGCUGGGUUCAGAACGUCGUGAGACAGUUCGGUCCUUAUCCACUGUGGGCGCAGGAAUCUUGAGGGGUUCAUUCUCUAGUACGAGAGGACCGAGAAUGACGCACUUCUGGUGUGGCAGUUGUUCCAUCAGGGGCAUCGCUGCGUAGCCAUGUGCGGAAGAGAUAAGCGCUGAAAGCAUCUAAGUGCCAAGCUCAUCCCAAGAUAUGGAUUCCCGGACGCAAGUCCCUAAAGACCCCCGGCAGACUACCGGGUUGAUAGGUCAGGCAUGUAAGCGUCGCGAGAUGUUUAGUGGACUGAUACUAAUUGGUCGUGCGGCUUGAUCGC
rnacentral:rRNA from 1 species